GGUGCGGUGGGGUGCAGAGAAAACAAUGGAUUGCGAUCUUAAUUGCCUUUUAGCUUCAUUCAUACCCUGUUAUUUGCUUGUUUAUUCUCAUGGGUUAUUCUGUGUCACUGUCAUGUUCCUCGUUUGCUUGCCUGCUUGCUUGUUUAUUUCCUUCCUUCCUUCCUUCCUUCCUUCCUUCCUUCCUUCCCUCCCUCCCUCCCUCCCUCCCUCCCUCCCUUACUGGCAGGGUCUUCCUCUGUCUCUGCCGCCCAGGAUCACCCCAACCUCAAUGCUUUGGACCGACCAAACGGUCGUCCUGCCUCUGAUCCCUCCCAUCCCCAUUACCUGAGACCACAGGCACGCACCACCACACCGGCUGACUUCUAUGUUGCUUCUCCUGUUUUCCGUAGGUAGGUAUGUAUGUGUGGGUAUGUAUGUAUGUACGUAUGUAUGUACGUAUGUAUGUAUGUAUGUGAGUGAGAUGGGUUUCGGGAUUCUAUCAUGUUGCCCACGCUGGUCUCGAACUCCUGUCCUCAAGCAAUCCGCCUGCCUGCCUCGGCCGCCCACACUGCUGCUAUUACAGGCGUGAGACGCUGCGCCUGGCUCCUUCUACGUUUGCCUGCCUGCCUGCCUGCCUGCCUGCCUGCCUACCUAUCAAUCGUCUUCUUUUUAGUACGGAUGUGCUCUCGCUUUGUUGUCCAUGCUCUGGGCACACGUGAUCUCUUUUUAAACUUCUAUGAUUAUGAUGAUUGUAGGCGUCAUCUCACGUGUCGGGGUGAUCUCCAACUUUUAGGCUCCAGAGAUCCUCCCGCAUCGGCCUCCCGGAGUGCUGUGAUGACACGCGUGGGCACGACGGAGUUUCACUCUUGUCGCCCAGGGUGGAGGACGAUGGCGGAUCUCGGCUCACCGCACCCUCCGCCUCCCAGGUUCAAGGGAUUCUCCUGCCUCAGCCUUCCCGAGUAGCUGCGAUGACAGCGAUGAGCCAUCGUGCCUGGCUAAUUUUUCUAUUCCUAGUACAGAUGGGGUUUCUCCAUCUUGGUUAGGCUGGUCUUCAACUUCCGACCGUUGGAGGAUCUUAACUUUCUUGGUGGUGGUUGCUUUUCUUUUUCUUUUUUUCUUUUCUUUUCUUUCCUUCUCCUUCCCCCCCCCCAACCCCCCUUGUCGUCGUCGUCGUCCUCCUCCUCCUCCUCCUCCUCCUCCUCCUCCUCUUUCAUUUCUUUCAGCUGGGCUCUCCUACUUGUGUUGCUCUGUUGCUCACGCUGGUCUCAAACUCCUGGCCUUGACACUUCUCGCGUCACAUCCGCCGUCUGCUUGUUGAAAUGAGCAUCUCUCGUAAAAUGGAAAAGAUGAAAGAGAUAAACACGAAGACGGAAAGCACGGUGUGAACGUUUCUCUUGCCGUCUCCCGGGGUGUACCUUGGACGCGGAAACACGGAGGGAGCUUGGCUGAGUGGGUUUUCGGUGCCGAAACCUCCCGAGGGCCUCCUUCCCUCUCCCCCUUGUCCCCGCUUCUCCCCCAGCCGAGGCUCCCACCGCCGCCCUGGCAUUUUCCACAGGAGAGGUAUAGGGAGAGGACUGACACGCCUUCCGCAUCUAUAUCCUGCCGGACGUCUCUGGCUCGGCGUGCCCCACCGGCUACCUGCCACCUUCCAGGGAGCUCUGAGGCGGAUGCGACCACCCCCGCCCCCCCGUCACGUCCCGCUACCCUCCCCCGGCUGGCCUUUGCCGGGCGACCCCAGGGGAACCGCGUUGACGCUGCCCUCGGAUCCUCCGGCGAAGACUUCCACCGCAUGCCCCGGGUGGGCCGGUUGGGAUGAGACUGGACCACCCCGGACCGUGCUGUUCUUGGGGGUGGGCUGACGUACGGGGUGGACUGGCGGCCCCAGCAUUGUAAAGGGUGCGUGGGUAUGGAAAUGUCACGUAGGAUGCCCUCCUUCCCUUCGGUCUGCCUUCAGCUGCCUCAGGCGUGAAGACAACUUCCCAUCGGAACCUCUUCUCUUCCCUUUCUCCAGCACACAGAUGAGACGCGUGAGAGGGAGAAACAGCUCAAUAGAUACUGCUGACCUUCA